GUCGGCGUCGUCACCGUCAAGCCAGCCACCGUGCCCGUCACCUCCGAGCUGCCGGGCCGCACCAGCGCCUUCCUGGUCGCGCAGGUGCGCGCGCGGGUCGACGGCAUCGUGCUGCGCCGCGAGUUCACCGAGGGCGAUGAGGUCAAGCUGGGCCAGCGCCUCUACAAGAUCGA
rnacentral:ncRNA from 1 species